rnacentral:lncRNA from 1 species
GGCAAUCUCUUUUCUUUUCGAGUCAACGUUUAUUCAGAAAUGGCAACCGUCGGCAUGGGACGGAGGUUGCAACGGCUCAAAUGGACUACAGUUUGUGAAAGUUGGAAAAGUUCCUCGAAAAAAUUAACGUCACGUGAUGUUGGCCAAUGGCGACUUGCAAGUUUUGUCUGCGCAUCAAGGCGACGAGAAUCAUUUGUAUCAUUGUCGAGUUCUCGUCCAGCCCAUCAGGCAAACAAUGACCAGUUUCACUGCUGGACGAAUCAUCCUCAGUCAAGAAUCCAGGACAAAGAUGGCACAAGUCAUUGUAGAAACUGUGAAUCGAAUUCGAAGUUUGGCGUGGACGAGAUGCCGUUUUACCUUGUGUUUUUCACGGAUAUCUUCCGCAUAAAAUCAAAUGGUACAAAAGUCAAACGAUUCAGUAUGGCAAUUUGUUGUUGCCACUGGUGACAUCAGCUGCCACGCAAGAGCAUCAUGAUGGAGUGCUGGGACUUGGGCGUCAUCGCCUCAUUGGUGGCACUUUACUCAUCGCUUCCGUCGUCACCGAAGAUCAGGGCAGUUACAUUUGUUUUGUCAACCGUUCCAUUGGAUUAGUCGAAUCACGUACCGAACUCGUUUCUCGUGUCAAAUUACAAGUCAGAAACGUCGAACGUCGUCGUCGCCGCAUAGAAUGCACAGCACAUUUAAGUCGCCGAUCCAGAAACGUCCGUCACCAUCACGUGUCAUUUCUCCGGCCGGUUGUCAGUUGGCUCAAAGAUGGCCAGCGCUUCUUGGUGGGUAAUAGUGGUCGUGUUUCUUCUUCAUCCGGCGACGACGGCUACACCGAUAUGGUCCAGUUAUCCAUUUCGUCCGUCCAACGUGAAGAUGAGGGAAUAUACCAAUGCCUGGCAUCCAAUGACGAAGGAGAUUGGGCCCAAGCAUCGGCCCAGCUGGCCAUUGGAGCAUUUCCUCCUCAUUUGAAAGAAACGUUCAGUCGGCAAGUUGUACAUCCGGGAAGUUCAGUCUCGUUGAAAUGUUUAGCCUCUGGCACUCCGCUGCCUCAUUUCACUUGGACGCUGGACGGGUUUCCGUUAUCGCCCGUUUCCGAACGAUAUUUCCUCGGCCAGCAGCAAAAAACGGGUCACGACGAUCUUGUAGUGGCUCAUCUCAACAUAACCCACGUCCGAGUCGAAGAUGGAGGCAAUUACAAAUGUGUAGCGGAGAAUCGAGUGGGUCGCGUAGAGCAUUCAGCCAAUUUGCAUAUUUACUUCAAUUCAAUGGCAGUUUGACGAUCGAUCCGUUGGAUAAGAGCAGCGACGCCGGUCUUUAUAGUUGCGAGGCGCGUGGCCAGAACGGACUCUCGGCUCGCCAGUCACUUCAACUCAACAUCCUCGCUUUGCGAAAAUAUUGACUCGGCGCCUUUUUCUUUUCCCCCUCCGCCCUGUAAACUUGCUCGGUCGCUGUGUAUACUCUUUGAUGAUGAGAAAGUCCACAGCGCUUUUCUAUCCGGUCUGGAAGCAGAAAAAAAAUUUUAAAAAAAGGAAGCAAUGAAAGCAAAUGAGACAGACCGACUAUAUCGAUCCAGCAGCCAGAAGCCAAUUUAAGUCUUUCCCCUUUUAUUUUUGUGAAAAACAAGAAAAAGGAGAUGAGUUAAGUGGGUAGGAAGGAUAAAUUUAGAAAUUUCUCGACGUUUUUUUUUUUGUUGUUGCUUCCGGUCGCCGGAAUUUCGUAAAAAAAACAAACAAAAAACACAAAAAAAAAACGAUAUUGGAUACAGACGCGCCUCAAUGAGCGAUUCAUGACAAUCACCAUGACAAUGAGCGAUUCGGCCAUGUUGAAUGCCGGCGAGCGAUUGGCUCUUCAAUGCGCCGUAGUUAAAGGUGGAUUGCCGUUGUUCGUCAGCUGGUCGAAAGAUGGCCAAGUGAUUGCACCGACAACUGCAACGACGACGACUAACGUCCGUUUGGUGAACGAAUUCACAGCCACGUUGACGAUUGAAUCGUUGACUGAACAACAUGGUGGAUGGUACGUGUACGUCUGCCGCAAAUAUAUAAUUUCAGUUACAAUAGUGCAAUAGAAAAAAAGUGGUGGAAAUAUUUAUCAGGCUUUAGAGCAGCAUUAGCCUUUGCUAUAUCUCCACAUCAUGUAAAUGGAAAAUCUCUGGAACUUCUUGUUGAGAAAUGAAGCCAUUGUGCAUAUUGCAUCAACCAAGGGCGAAAUGUUACCACAUAUAGGCCAAUGUUACAACUCACUUAUGGUGAUUGUCCAUUCACAUGAAGUCUGUAUGUUGGUACAGUUUAUCAACAGGCAUAAGAGCAUGUUCGGGCAAUAAUUGUGGGAUAGUUUAGGUAGAUUCUUUGCUGCGUCAUAGCUCGGGAGUCGUAACGGGCAAUAUCCUUGUGCAUUAAGUUGGUGAACUCUUGUGUUCCAUUGGGUAAUGCUAUCAAAUCUUAAUGUGCUAUUUGUGAAAGAUUUUAUUAUUCUGUAUGUUUUAAAGGAAAAUAUUUCAAAUUGAUUUAUUUGCAUGUUACGGAGUUGUAUUUUUCUGAUCUGUGGAGCCUGACAUUUUCCACAAUUUCUAUCGGCGAACAAAAUGUCUUUUAGGAUUGGUAGCAGCUUACGAAGCAGUAGGUUCCAACAUCAUCUAACGUCUGCUUUAGUAAUGGCAGGGAUGUGAAUGAUAAUUUGUGAAAUCAAACAACUUAAGCAGGUGCCUAGCUCAACAACUCCUAUGAAAUCUAGAUUGGUGGUGGUAGUUAUAGGGCGCCUGUUCAGGCAACAGUUUCGUUUUUUAAUCCGCCAAGGAUUUAUGCGUUAUUGCGUCUACUGUGUAGCCUGAGUAGCAUACGCAAGGGGGCGUUUAUCUACAUUCCUGAUCACCAAGCAGUUACAAAUAUGUUCUACACUGAUAAGCAUCCGAGGCAAAGGGCGAGCUGAACUAGUCUAUUGCCCCUCAACUCCAGAGGGCACUAGUUUACAGCAACUCGGGCUCACCCUUUGGAGAGUGGAUUCUCAUUUCUUCUUCAUACCAGCGAGCAGAUUUGAGGUUUAAAAUUGUUUUAGGUUGUUAAGCAAGUCUGACUUUCUACGAUGUACAUGGCCGCCAAACUUUGUCGUUAUGUCUGACUGUUAAUCAGUAAGAAAAACGUCGAAUUAUUGACGAUACGUUUGUCAAAAUGGCAAAUACAACGCCUAACGAUUUAAAUCUAACUUGGGAUAAUCUACUUCUCGGACAAGGUACUUUGAGACCGGAUCUAAUUGAGUCCGCUUUCCAUAUGGCUUCUUCGCACACGGUUGCCAUGAAGACUCGUCAUAACGAUUCCGAAAUGGUUCGUCAAUUUCGCAUUCACGGCCGUGUAGUAGAACCUAUUAAAGACUUCCUUAAAGAUGAAGUAAGAGCCUUAGGUCGUGAGCUGGGUUCCUGCACAAUUACUGGAACGUUACCCGUUUCCUGGUCCCGGUUUGUCAAUUUGAAUCAUUUACGCCAAAGAGCCGUUCUUGGAAGCUAAUUUCGAUGAGACGCAAGUGCUGAUUCGUUCGAUGGUCCAUUAUGCCAACAUAGCAGCCAAGGAACAUGCCUUGCUCAAUCGGAUUGAAAUCGUGACGUCGGAAGAAGAACGUCUUCUUCUGGGAGAACUGUCUAGUCGCAACCAGUAUGUUGCCACGCUACUGCCUAUUCGCACUGUCGGUGUUCAGGUACAGGAGGUUGCAGAAAAAUGUGUCGGGUAUGGCAAACAAAGCAUAGGGAAAACCGCCACAUUUUUCUGCAAUAUACUGUACAACAGAUUCGCAAUUUAGACGUUGUCGUAAUAAUGCCGCUAUCGUAAUCAGCUCUUG